AUUCACGCUAAAAUAUGGGAAGUAGGCGCCACAAAGCAAAUUUUUCUGGUUGCGCAUAGGCUACUGGAAUCAGCGGAGAGCACUGUGUUUAUGUUCGGGCGCUUCCAGAUUCUCUCAUACUUAGAGAAUCGAUAACCUUUGGAACAGAGGAACUUGUGGAUCGAGAGAGAGCAUCCCUGCUGCAGAGCGCAGUGUGCACAACGCGGACGUGUCGAGAGAGACCGCCGCAUCGGUAGUCCCCGCAGCCGCAACUGAGUAUAGACGUGUGAGUCCUGUGGCAGGUGAUCGCGCCCGUUCGUAAUGCUUACCAUUGUGAUACCCUUCUGGAGACUGUGGCGAGCGUCGGAUGACCGCUUGGUUCCCAGGCUUGGCGCAGUGCGGCGACAUGGAGUUUCGCUCUGGGAUCAUUCGGGGCAUAGUCCAUCUUCUCGGUAAGCGCUACGUGAGACCGAAAUAGGAUGCAACGUUUGGACAGGCGAGGGAGCUUCGAGGUUCUUGAUCAUGAACCUUUGACGCGAGCAUGAACGCAGUGUUUCUGGUCUGGCCGUCGUGCGUUCACGUGCACAAUAUGGCCGGUUCGCUAUUUUGUUCAUUAUAUGCGCUGUUCCCCGCCGAUUUACCUAGUGGACGUAACGCGCGACUUGUUCAUUAUCUUUUUUAUUUUACCGCCGGUCCUCUGCGCGCUUUCGACUGUGCAGAUUGAGCACCGUCCCGAAUGGCGACGACUGCGUUCAUCCUGCGCCUUUCCAAACUAGCUACCAUACGCGAUGCGGCAUUGCUCGCUAGACACAGCUCUCCCUGCAGCUGAAUGCCCCGAUACCACGUGAUUCGUAUUUUGUCUUCCAGUCUACAUCAAAUAGACUCUUUUCGAGCUUGGAGCGACCGCCGUCCUCCUUGAGCACCAACGAUAUACCCAUUGGCGAAUAUGCAGCACCGGCAGCGGGUGCCGGGCACUGCCGAGCACCCAGCUGCGGCACAACGCGACUCUGCAACCAAUCAGUACAGAGAUGCCUCGCUGAUUUCACAUGCCUCCGCUUCUACUUCGAGACACUGCACUUGUGUAUGAAUGCCCGGUGCUUCCAGGCAUUCGAGAUUCUUCUAGAUUCCAGGGCACCAAUCUGCAUCUUGAUGAAUCUGAAUGGACACUUUCAUCCGGUGCUGCACGCAUGCACGAAUGGACACGUGUCCAUGCGUGCACAGACAGCACGCAUGGACAGCACGCAUCCGCAUGCUGCAGUGCCGCUUAUGAACUGCGUUGAGCUUGUAGCACCUGGGUAUGCUCUUUUACGUUAGGAGCUGCUCGCUUAGAGAAACUCUACCAAGGUAACCAUUCUGGGCAUCUGGGUUUUUUUAUGUCGCUUCGAGAGACGGUUUUAUGCUCUGGCCAAGUACGACAUGACGAAUGCUUGGUGUUCCAUCGAGUGGGAAGCGCGCUUUGUGCAGCGUGUACAGCAACGGCGCGCUUCUUCGUCGUAGUUUCGGCGCUCGUCAAGCAUGACGAACGUCCGCACACUCUAACGUACCGUUUGCGCGCAUCUGCCGCGUAUAGCUAUAAACCGUGUGC